UUCAGUUGUAAUCUGUGUAAAGAGGUGGUAUUACAGAGAGUUCUUGCGGUGAAGGAUCCUGAAUAUGAGCAGUGGCAGAUGUUUAAGGAGAAGGUUCGUUAGAGCCGACAUUUAUCCCGAUCAGACAGAGGAAUCACAGGGAGCAAACAACAGUCUGUGGUUAAAAGAGUUCAAGAAUUUUGUUGAGAAAUCUGUCCGCGACCAAGGCAGUUCAUACUGGAUUGGAAAAUGCAACUAUGGGAGAGUGGCCUCGAAUAUCGUGUUCCAAAUGAAGGCUGGAGUCUUCGAAUGCAUUGAAUGUGGAUGGUACCCUCACUUUGAACAUUGCAGUGAGGAUAAGCGUUGCUUCAUCUGCGAGAAGUCGGCGCUUCUGUGCUCAGAUCUUUCUGAAAAGAUCCAAGAUCUCUGUCAACAGUCAAUAGGGUCGACUUAAACAAGUGGCAAAACCGUCUUUAUCUCACCGACUCACAUUACAUCAUCAGCUCUGCCCCUCACCCUUGCCUUAUUAUCUUUCCCUCUAUCGCAAUCUUACCCACCAUCUCGCCCACUCUUCACCUUCGUUCCUCUAAACACCCUCUCUCAUCCCUCUCCACUCCCGCCUCUUCCAUUUCAUCCGCAUUUUCUCUCUCCCGCAUCUCGCCUCCCUUUCCCCGAACUCUUCCUCUUCUAUCCCUGUCUCUCUCUCGAUUCUCUAUUCCCCCUCUACACACUCUCCCAAUCCCUCUCUUUCCCUUUUAUGGAACUCAACUCGCUCUCCCGCUUCUGUCUUCAGCUACUCUCACCUCAAUCAUGCGCGUCAAUGUUCUCGAUACCCCAGUCCUGUGGAAUAAGAGUGCAUGUAUUCGCCUUAUCCGUGCCCCUUGUAGUUUUGUACAGCUCUACAUGGUCACAAAAUAAAGCCUGAAAAUUUCCGACUGCACCAUAACUCAGCUCCUAAAAUCCUGGCAGAAACUUCGGAAUUCUCCCUCUGUAAUCUUUCCAGUUCGUUGAGAGUGUUCUCAGAGCAAGGCAAGCAGAACUAAACUCCAUACUCCAUGUGCGGCCCGACCGACGUCAUCUGCAACUGCAACGUGACCUCCGACUCGACUCAGUGUCCUGACUGAUGAAGGCCAGCGUGUCAAAUAUCCUGUCCACCAGUAUCGCAUCUUCUCUACCGGAUUCACGGUCUGUUUUAUUAUCUGUGACGUAGACCACCUGAGAUUUGUUCUUUUGAAGGAUCAGUGGGGCGCUAAUAUGUAAAAAUUACCGUCAAAUGCAACAAGCUAAUAAAUGCCGCAAAAAAUUGUGGAGGUGGUGCUCAUACGUUCAAGAAAAUGCCAGCGGAAGGGAAGAAGGUGUUUCUGGAUCAUUGAGAUUUCGGCCUCCUGUUUCUCGUCAACCCUCCUUCCCAGACGACCAUCCUUGUCACCGUCCGCCACGACUUCCUCUGCAGCCCAGUCCGUUUCCGCCACCGCAUUCUUCUUCCACACUUCUUGACUCUAGCAACCCUCCGUUCACUGCGCUGCGUGCCGUCUUCGUCAUCUCCUCCUUCUCCAACACCUCUCCACGUCUCCCUGAUCUGCUUGAUCCCCGGCAGGUCCACCCCGCUUCCAUUAACCGUCUUCCUCCUUUACACGUCUCCCUCUCACUGUUUAUAUAGAAGUAUGGCGAGGAAGGGGGAGAGGUGACGUCUAGUGUUACACCAACCAGCUCCCUUCAAACGGAUAUUGAUCUCUCGUUUCUGAGCCUUUGCUCUGUUCUGUGUGAACAGGCCGAUCGUUUGUUUGGACAAAACUUCAUCCCGAGUGGGGUGGUGGGCGGAUGGGGUGAGGGUAGAUGUGCGGAAGAGAUGCGUUAGACCACUUUAGACCAGAGCCAGUGCAGACACCCCUUGCGGCCAAUCCGCUCAAUAACAGGUAGACCAGUUUGGAUGCUUCUGGAUGGGAGGAGAGGGGUGCAAAUUACCAAGCAGGGAAAGUCUCACCGGUCAGGUCUCUGACAGAGACUAUGGCUCUGUGGCUCAGAAAGGAAAGGAGUGAAAUUUGGCGAGCUUUAUCCUGAGGGUAGUCUUUGUUAGGUGAGCAGAAAAGAGGUACUGAGGACGAGAACGAGAUUUCUCAAUGGUAUGCGGUCGAUAUACUAACCAGUAUAUAGGCAGGAAAAUGGAGCCGGUUCUGCAAACUUUGAAAGAACAUUCAGUUUAAACUGUGACUGAAAUGUUAGGAUUUGGAACGAAGUCUUGAGAUAUCUGUAUCACUGGGCGCUCCUGCUCGGAAGCUGCGACCUCUGCAAACCGAGCGGUUUAUUUCAUUUCAAUUUAAUUCAUUUCAAGUUUAUUUGCAAUUCCAUCACAUAUGACCGCCAGGGCCAAGCUUCAAAACACAAUACCAACUGUCACACGAUACACCAAGAUCACGUAAUAUGUAUAAAAUAGCAAGUUAGCAAGCAUAUGUAGGGUAUCAGUGAAAUAUAUUCACGCUUUAUGUACAGGCGCACACACGCACGCGCGCGCACGAGCACAUGUAUAUAUAAUCAGCUUGAGGUCCUAGGCAGUGUAAAAGCCACCGAAAUCUAGAAAUUACAACAACUGCUCUUGUGUUCUGCCGAAUGAACACUGGGAGACAGCACAGACUCCUGCCUGGAGAUCGCGCCACACCGCCCCUCGUUGUGCAGCUCCUUCAUUUUCUCCGCCAUCUGGCAACUCUCUCAGUUUACACCUGAACCGGAGUGGAACUAAUAUCCCAGCGGGAAGGUUUGCCAUUAAGAAAGGGGUCGAUGUGUUGUUUAAGCCAGAGUUGCAGGGGGAUGAUAACCAGAAUGAUUGAACAGAAAGUUGAGUCAUUGUUGGGACAGAUGUUGUCAAGACCUCAGAUAAAGUCAGCGAGCAAAAUGUUGAACCUGCUGGAUCUCAUGUUCUGAGCUACGUCCAUUUCAAAGCAAUAAGUAUUAUACGAAGAGCAGAUGAGCUCAGGGUCGGAGCCAACGAUUGAAAGCAUGAGAGUUUAGCCAUUAGUAAGAUUUGUUUGCAGGAGGGGCAAGUCUGUUAGCUCAGCCUUCCAGUUUACUGCUGUUUUUGUCGUACUAAUGUUUAUAUAAUUUAAGCUAAGGUGAGGCUUCAGAGGUGGAACUGAGGAAUGAGAAGGGUAUGAACUCGUUCAUGGGGCAACAUUAUCGACCACCGUACAGUCGGGGGAUUUAGAGGAACAAAUCUGUGGAGAGUUCGGAGUCUGUUGUAAGAGACAUCAGGUUGUGGCAUCGGGUGAGUUUAAGAUUCUUGGUACUGACUGUGAAAGGACCACUGGGAUAGUUUUCUUAAUCAGUUAAGGAAGGAACCUUAAUCAGGAGAUAGUUAUUCCCAAUGAGAGAGUGCAAUACUUGAUCUCAUCCUAGCGAUUAGGACACGCCAGGGGUCAGAAGUGUGUGUCAGGGAACAAUUUGCAUCUAGUGUUGGUAAUGCCAUUAGAUACAGGAUAAGUAUGGAAAAGGAUAGAUGCAACCUCGAGUUAAGUUUAGUUUUGAGGUUUAUAACAAUACGGGACGCAAGUAGACCAGAGAGCUUGUAUCUUUUACCCGUAGGAUGGAAAUGUCUAAUAUUAGAAGACCUGCAUUGAGGUAAGAGCGGGUAGGUUCAAAGGAGAUGAAUUUGGCAAGUUUUUGUCGUCACAGAGAUUGGCGGGUAAUUGGAAAGUUCUGGCAGCUCUGGUGGUGGAGGUAAAUCCAUACAGACUUUUAACUGGCUCUUCUAUAGGUACGUGGGUGUGCAAGGAAUGGAAGGAGACAGAUGUCGGGAGAACAAAUUCAGAAUUGAGAUAUCACAAUUCUUGAACCAAAGGGUCUGUUCUGUUGUGUGAUUUACCUUCUCUGCUCUGUAGAAAGAGCAGAGUGAUCUGACCUCAUCCGGUGGAAAGUGCAGGGAGUUAGUUUGUGAAAAGGAACUUGACGAUUUAUCGAUAACAAGAGGGAACGACCAAUUCACAGAAGGCAUACGGCAUGAAAAAGACGCACAGAGACACCAUCUUCAAAGGGACACUGAAAACCCCCCUACAAUGCUUUUGUAUCACAGACACAACCCUCGUCGUAAUAAGAACACGCCCCUCAUAGUGACAGCCACACACUGAUA